rnacentral:rRNA from 1 species
UACCAGCACCCCGAGCGGUCGGGACGUUUAUUGGGCCUAAAGCAUCCGUAGCCGGUUCUACAAGUCUUCCGUUAAAUCCAACUGCUUAACAGGUGGGCUGCGGAAGAUACUAUAGAGCUAGGAGGCGGGAGAGGCAAGCGGUACUCGAUGGGUAGGGGUAAAACCCGUUGAUCCAUUGAAGACCACCAGUGGCGAAGGCGGCUUGCCAGAACGCGCUCGACGGUGAGGGAUGAAAGCUGGGGGAGCAAACCGG